AUGAAGUGCUAAUGGAAUGUCAUUUGAAUCAAGGUGUUGGGCGGCUGCCUGUGGCAGGGUAGGUAUUGUCUGACCUUGAGGUGGGAAAGUCCAGGCGAGGUUGCUGGGGGUAACCGGAGUCCAGAGCCAAGAGCGGCAGGCUGCACAGAGGCCUGACCCCAUUUUGCAAGGCAGUGGUGCCAGGAGGCCUGUUUUCCAUGGUGUUCGCUGACUCCUCCAGCUCCAAGGAGCUCUGAGUGUUUGGGCCAUGUUCCCAGGGUCAUCCCCCUAACAGCAUGCUGGAGGCGCUUCGGACUCAAGGCUCCGUCAGCUGCAGUCCCAGCCCUGAAGGGACCUCCUCCUACGUCCCAGUUGGUUCAGUCAAGUCUCCAUUGUACAAGACAAUCCCCAGGAAGGACCAGGACAUAUUUCUGCCCCAGGAGUAGAGGCUUACUGGAGAAGGCUUUGAGCCGGGUUCCAUUCCAGCGGAGGCUGGGGGGCUGGGGGGCCCAGAGCACGGGGGUCAGGCGGCCAAAGUGAGCACUGGCCAGCGUCAGGCCAUAGCAAGGGAGCAUUUCGGGCCAGGCUCAUGGGGGCAGGGAGCCACGGUGCACGGCCCGGAGGCGGCCCCAGCCGGUUCCCGCCAGGUGACAGAGGACUGCUUUGGCGAGCACUCCCUGCCCCGGAGGACACCCACCUUGGGAGGACCAGAUGCAGCAGACACGGGGAAGGAAUGAGUGCUGGAGCCCCGUUUCUGGAUGCCUGCUUCUGGAGUUCAUGUCUCCUGAGACUCAGCCCUGGGGCUGGGGGUUUGGGCAGCUCCAGAGAAACCGGAGCCCUCCUUCCUGGGCCCCAGUGGGGGCCCCCACAAGCUGAGGCCACCCCACCCCAAACCCGCAGGGUGCCCGCUGCUGGCAGGCUGAUGCUUGGUUUGCCUUCUGCUAGCACCCUGUGGACCCCUGGGCCCAGAGGCAGCCCUGGGGGGGCUCUCCAGGGGCCCCUCCUUUUGGGGCACCAGGCUGCUCCUCUGCAGGGCAUGCCCGGCCUCAGGCCCCUUUGACCACCUGGAAUCCUGGUCCGACACUUAACCACCCUGAGACGUUGGCUCCCACCUGGGCCACAGGACCCGAGGGGAGGGUGUACAAGGUUGUUCACGGAAUGACCUUCACUCCCAUCCAAGUGCUAACCAGGCCCGACCCUGCUCACCGUCCGAGAUCCGACGAGACGGGGCGCGUUCAGGGUGGUACGGCCGUCGACACAAGACGAAAUCAGAGAGGGAGACAAACCAUGAGAGACUCUGAACUCUG